UGCGGGGAUAAGAUAAGAAAAAGAAAAGAAAAGAGGGGUCACAACGCUAGCUUCCAUUGGACUAAUUUGUUUGUUACUGUGGAGGUGCCCACAGGUUAACCAGAGAUCGGCCUUGUAAAUGCAAGCUGGCUACGCAGCAUUAGAGGCUCGAGGUUGGGGCUAAGUGCACCGUGACCGCUACAAUAGCCAAUCUGUUGAAGCUAAGCGUAAU
rnacentral:misc_RNA from 1 species